GCCUCUGCACUGGGAUUCCUCCAGCCCCAGCAAGUCCCUCAGGUGGUCCCAGCCUCUGUGUCCGCCUCUGCUCUCCCAGAGCGCCUCAGGCAGAGCAGCCAGGAUGGGGACCAGGCCCGCCUUACCGGGAAUGAGCCUGUCACCUGCUCCUCCCACCCCGCAGCAGAUCAUGCAACCAGCAAGGCUCUGGUCCAAGUAGGAACGGAUGGUAAACUGGGCAGUGAUGAUGGUGGAGAUGGUGGUGGUGGUGAUGAUGAUGACAAUGAUAAUGAUGAUGGUGAUGGCAGUGGUGGUAGUGGUGAUGGUGCUGGUGGUGCUGGUGAUAUGAUGAUGGCAGUGAUGGUAGUGAUAAUAGUGAUGAUAAUGUGAUGGUAGUGAUGGUGGUGGCAGUAAUAGUGAUGGUGAUGGUGGCAGAGAGGGUGGUGACAGUGAUGUCAGUGGUAAUGGUGGUGGUGAUGGUAAUGGUGAUGGUGGUGGUGGUGAUGAUGGUGGUGAUAGUGGUAGUGAUGGUGUGGUGGAAAUGAUGGCUGUGAUCGUGAUGAUGAUGGUAGUGAUGGUUACAAUGAUAGUGGUGGUAGUGGUGGUGAUGGCAAUGAUGGUAUUGAUGGUGAUGGUGGUGGUGGUGGUAGUGAUGGUGGUGGUGGUAGAUGGUGGCAGUGAAGACGGUGGUAAUGGUAGAUGGUGGCAGUGAAGAUGGUGGUAAUGAUGGUAAUGGUGAUAGUGGUGCUGGUGGUGAUGGUGAUGGUGGUGGUGGUGGUAGUGAUGGUGAUGAUGAUGGUGAUAGUGAUGGUGGUGGUGGUGGUGGUGCUGUUAGUGGUGGUGGUGGUGUUGCUGGUGGUGUUGGUGAUGGUGGUGGUGGUGGUGGUGAUGGUCAUGGUGGUGGUGGUGGUGGUGGUGGUGAUGGUGGUGGUGGUGGUGGUCAUGGUGAUGGUGGUGAUAGAGCCAAGAGGCUCUUGGGACCAUAUGGCUGGGACUGAAGGCAGUGUAGACACAGCUGACCCUUCAUGAGGGCUCUGCCUGGCUCUAGUAGCUUCUAUCCUGAAAGCCUGGUGAGUGUCUGAAGGAUGGUCCCCUUGUUAAGUGAGGGCAGGCUUGUGGAUUUCAGGGGCCCCAGAGGCCUGGGAGGACAUUUAGUGGGGGCGGGGUCCUCACCAAAGACUCAAUGGGCUCUGGAGUUCCUGUGUCUCCUGAGACCUGCGCCUGACGUCACCCUCUGGAUGGCCUCUGGCCUCUACCUGGGCUGGGGUGUCCCAGGAACAGAGAAGGACCCAACUAUUGUUGGGGACCCCAGCACUCUCUGUCCAACCGAGCCUGGGGCCUGGGUGGCAAAUGUGGGCAUUGCGAGAGUGGCAGGACUGGGAGGAGGCCCAAGCCCUGGGUAGGGCCUGGGGGGUGCCAGGUCCACACCUCCGAGGUGGUGAGUGGUGCAGACAGCUGGUGCCUGUGGGUCCCUAACAAAUGCAGCUGAGAAGUGGGCCCUCAGAUGUCCACGUGGCAUAACCCUGCUGUGACUGAAGCCGCCAGCCUGGAUUGAACAUUCUUCAAGAUUUCUGCCUUCAUUUAACAAGCUCCACUAGACGUGGCCUCUGGAGCACAGGUCUCUCCCAAACAUCACCAAAAUGACCGAAGAGGAAGAGGGAGGUGCCGUUUGCAGGAAAGAGAGAACGGGAGUGGAGCAGCAGCCACCAGUGAGGGAAGAGGUGGCAAAGUGCUCCAUGGCUGGGGUGCCUAUCUUGGCAGAGUGGAGCAGAUGGUGAGCCAGACGUUCAGCUGGGCCCGGGUGGGCAUCCGUCAGAGCCAUUAGGCCCCUCGCUGUGGCCUCUCCCAGCCACAGGGGACCCUGGGGAAACUGGGCCUGGGACCAGGCUCACUGGAGGGUGGGUAUGAGGCUCUCACUGAAGAUAGGGGAUUGAGUGGCCAUCACAAACCAAGCUCAGCCGCCUGCCCCUCCUUCUCUUAGCAAUGACACCAGCAGCCCAUAGUCCCCAGGCAGGAGAGCAGAGGAGCCUUCCUUGAAAAACUCAAUGGCCAGAGGAAAAAGACCAGCCUCUCAAAAUGAUAGAUUCCCCAUUGCCUGGUCCUCUACAGAAAGGCCCAUCUGCCGACAAGACCACUGCCACCCUCUGCCACCCUCCACCACCCUCCGCCAGGUCACCAGAAUGCCAGGCCUCACUCAUGAUCAGCUGAGCACCAGCAGGCAGGUGAGAAGAGCCUCCAGUGUGGAGCAGGUCAACCAGCAACAGAGCCAGGGAGACCCAUGGAGUCCAGAGAAAACGGUAACAACGGCAGCAGCACCCAGAGACUGGCUCCCAGUGAGUUAAGCCCAGCCGCGACCCUUGGAUGUGCCAGCUGAUUUAAUACUCAUGAUAAACCCAGUAGGUCAGUGCCAGUAUUAUGAGAGAAGUGAGGCACAGAAUGUCACAUCCACCUCCCCAAAGUCAACAGCUAGGAGUGACAGAGCCAGGAUUCUGCCAGGCAGGUUGGCCUCAGAGGCCACACUUCUUAUCCCAAUAAUAAAAGUGAACAAGAACAGGAUGAAGUUAGAGUGAGAGAGCGAGAGUGGUAACACUCAUGCAAUCAGAGAACAAGAGAAAGCUCAAUGGAAACAUGUAUUCACUGACAGGAUUAAAACACAAAACAACAAAAAGAGAGACGGCCAGGCGCGGUGGCUCACGCCUGUAAUCCCAGCACUUUGGGAGGCCAAGGCAGGCAGAUCCCCUGAGCUCAGGAGUUUGAGACCAGCCUGGGCAACAUGGUGAAACCCUGACUCUACUAAAAAUACAAAAAUUAGCUGGGCAUGGUGGGGCAUGCUUGUACUCGGGAGGCUGAGGUGGGAGGAUCACUUGAACCCGGGAGGCAGAGGUUGCAGUGAGUCCAGAUCGCACCACUGCACUCUAGCCUAGGUGAUAGAGUGAGAUCCUAUCUAAAAAAAAAAAAAAAAAAAAAUAGAAGGCAGGAAGGAAAUAUCAGAAAAAUGCAGAAUUGAUCCAGGAGGUCCAAGUUCCAAAAGGAGUCAGAAAGAGAAAGGAGAGAAAAAGGUGGGGGAUCAAUGAUCAAAGAACUAAACUGAGACCAGCGCCCAGAAUGACAAGGCACAGGCCAGACAGCAAGGCUCACCCAAGUCCAGCACAAUGCAAGUGACACGUGUGCAUCACUGUGGAAUUGUAGACCACUGGUGCCAAGGAGUGCCCCAAAAAACUUCCAGAGGGGGAAAAAAUAGUCACAUAUGUCUCUCUCUCUCUUUUUUUUUUAAGGAUAAAGGGAAUUCUUUUUUUUUUUUUUGAGUCAGGGUCUUGCUGUGUUGCCCAGGCUGCAGUGCAGUGGUGUCAUCAUAGCUCACUGCAGCCUCUAACUCCUGGGCUCAAGCGAUCCUCCAACCUCAGCCUCCUGGGUAGCUGGGACUACAAGCAAGCACCACCAUGCCCAGUUAAUUUUUUAAUUUUUUUUGUAUGGAUGGGGGUCUCACUAUGUUGCCCAGGCUGCAGCAGGUUGGUCUCAAACUCCCGGACCCAAGUGAUACUCCCACCUGGGCCUCCAAAAGAGCUGGGAAUACAGGCCUGAGCCAUCAUGCCCAGCCACAUACUGUCUCAUAAAAAGGCAAAGCAACCCCCAAAUGCAGAAGGAGCUGAGAAACCAAAGGAGGAGGCAGACAAAUUCAGCUUGUUGUUAAAGUGUGUUUUAUGGGGGAUCUUAUGAACAGAAGAGUGGUCUUGGACAGCCACAAGACAUAUAGAUCUCCACACCAUAAUUCCCCAGACCCAGAGGUUAUAUACCAUAGGGAAAGGGUACAUGUGCUUCAGAGGGAAUGGGGAGGAAUUUGAUCUAAAGGCAGGACUUACAGUAUAUGCUCUUAUGCAAGAAACAACAGAUAAACUGAAAAUCUCAGAGGCAUUCCUGGAACCAGUGUUAGUCAGAAGUCAGCAUGGUGGAUUAGCUUCCAUGGUAUGUUACUUUAGCCUCCACACAUACCAAGGAUUAGUAGUAAAGAUGGAACUGGACUUCCAGUAACCACACAGAAGCUCAAAGACAGAGUACCUUACAGAUGCUGAGGAAAAGAGACUCCCAACAGCAAAUUCUAUACCCAGCCAAACUAUCUGUCUAGUGUGAGGAAAUACUAAUGACACUGUUAGAUUUGUUAAAUCUCAAAACACUUAUCUCCCAUGCAUCUCUUCUGAAGAAGUAUCUGAAGGAUGCUCCCCUACAAGGAGAAGUCAACCAAGAAAGAGAAGGGGGUGCCAACACAGGUGAGGCAGGAGGGGCCAGCAGGCCUGGAGAGCAGCCAGUCCAGCUGUGGCAGGAAACUGGUUGGCUCCUGCUGAAAGGUAUCCAGGGAAAAUGGCCUUCCUAGAUUACACAAUGCAAGUUUCUGUGUGGAAGCCAUGUCACGAGAGAUUUCUAAAAUGAUUAGAGCAUUUAGGAAGAAUUUGUUGUUGACACAUAGAAAACCAAACAAAGGAAAACCAGGAGGCAAUUUUUAACUCCAGGAAAAACAAAGAAGUUGCUCAGGAAAGAGCAUUUAAUUAUAGUAUAUAACGUUGUUCAGGCAAGAACAAUUCUUAUGUAGUCAUGAUAAUUUAAAUAUGGAAUAUUUUUAAGCUAAAAGUAUUGUGGGGUUUUGUUGUUGUUGUUGUUUUGUUGUUGAGACGGAGUCUCACUCUGUCGCCCAGGCUGGAGUGCAGUGGUGUGAUCUCAGCUCACUGCAAGCUCCACCUCCUGGGUUCACGCCAUUCUCCUGCCUCAGCCUCCUGAGUAGCUGGGACUACAGGCGCAAGCCACCACGCCCGGCUAAUUUUUUGUAUUUUUAGUAGAGACGGGGUUUCACCAUUUUAGCCAGGAUGGUCUCGAUCUCCUGACCUCGUGAUCUGCCCGCCUCAGCCUUUUUUGUUGUUGUUGUUGUUUUUUGGAGACAAGGUCUCACUCUGUCACCCAGGCUGGAGUGCAGUGGUGUGAUCACAGCUCACUGCAUCCUAGACCUCCCAGGCUCAGGCAAUCCUCCCACCUCAGCCUCAUUUGUAGCUGGGACUACAGGUGCAUGCCACCAUGCCCAGCUAAUUUUUUGUAGUUUUGGUAGAAAUGGGGUUUCAUCACAUGGCCCAGGCUAGUCUUAAACUCCUGGGCUCCAGCAAUCUGCUUGCCUUGGCCUCCCAAAGUGCUGGGAUUACAGGCAUGAGCUGCUGCACCCGGCCUAAACUAAAAAUGUUCACAUAGUAUAUAGGGAGGAUGUGGGGCGGGGAAGAGCAAAUGUGUAAUGGAGUGAAAUCCUAAACAAUGCCUAAAAUUAAUAAAUCAAGAAAUAGUAAUAUAAACAUUUUAUUUAGAGAUUUGGAGGUGUACUAGUCUGUUCUCGCACUGUAAUAAAUUACCAAGACUGGGUAAUUUAUAAAGAAAAAGAGGUUUAAUGGACUCACAGUUCCACAUGGCUGGGGAGGCCUCAUAAUCAUGGCGGAAAGUGAAGGAGGAGCAAAGGCGCGUCUUACAUGGUGGCAGGCAAGAGAGCGUGUGCAGGAGAACCGCCUUUUAUAAAACCAUCAGAUCUUGAGAGACUUAUUCACUAUCACGAGAACAGCACAGGAAAAACUCACCCCCAUGAUUCAAUUACCUCCCACUGGGUCCCUCCCAUGACACAUGGGGAUUAUGGGAGCUGCAAUUCAAGAUGAAUUAGGGUGGGGACACAGCCGAAACAUAUCAGGAGGUUCCUGGAAGAAACAGAGUUGAAAGCAGUUAUCUUGCUGAGUGGGGGACUCAGGGCAUGGGCAGGAGACUGCUGAGUUUUGUUUUACGUCUUACUACAUUUGAUUUAUAAAAGACAGAUGUGCAUAUAUCACUUCAAAAAAACAAAAGUGGAUGUGGCUGAUGCCAAAGUGACCUGCCCCAGAAGAGCUGCUAACAGAACAGCAUCCCAGGAGGCUGCAGAAGGCUGAAGAGCAGAGCCCACACCUGCUAUGGGCCACAAGAGGCCCUGGAUGCCAUGGAGGCCGCAAGGGCCCAGGCGGGACUUGCAGAAUGAGAGUCCUAGGCCCAAGUAUAGAGUCCCUGGUGGGCACAGAGGAGAGACCAGGUCAGUGGGAGGGGUUGUCAGACCCUGUGGAGUGCCCCACCUGUGUGCCAGGCCCAGAACUGGGCUCAACUCUGAUGGUAGCAGGUGGAAAGUAGACUUCACUACUGUGGGAGUGGGGGCAUUCCUGGACACAGGGGGAAACCAGCUCACAGAACAGCCUGGGGUCUUCUUGGAGGAGGCCAUUUUGGCCCAGAUCCUAAAGGAAGACUGGAAGCCUCAGGGGGCAGUGAGAACAGGGACAAGAGAGGGCAGGUCUCAGGACUGACUGAGCAACUCAGACUGACCUGGAUCAAACUGUGGAGCCGGCGAAGGGUUUAGAGGGUUGCUGCAGGACAGUGGUGUCUGCAAAGACGCCUCUGGCUGCUGUCUGGAAAAUAGACAGGGGAGGCUGGGCAGGGGUCUGGGCAGGGGCUGGACAGGGGUGCUGGGCAGGGGCUGGACAGGGGUGCUGGGCAGGGGCUGGACAGGGGUGCUGGGCAGGGGCUGGACAGGGGUGCUGGGCAGGGUCAGUCCAUCUCCAUCCUGCUUUCCUUUUCUUUCUUUUCAACAAAUAUUGAUGGAGCACCUCCUCGGUGCCAGGCGCUGCUGCAGCCUCUAGGAAAUCAACCGUGGAAACACACGGACCCUGCCCUCCCGGCGCCAGUGUUCUGGUGGUCAGGAGGUGAAGAAAACCAGCAAGAACCAGCACAGGAAUCCGACGGUGGCAGCGCCGAGAGAAACAAGCUUGGAGGGGAAGGAGAGCUACAGAGGCUGCAUGGAUGUGAUGGUUGGAGUGGAAGCUGACAUUGUGGGCCAGGAGACCCUGGGAGUACAGGCCAAGAUGAAAAGAGCCUCAAUCCAGAGCGUUCUGUGAAGCAGUCACCACGGCCACCCUGGGCCAUCAGCUUCUGGACUUUUACAACAUAGAAAUUAAAUUUCCAUUGAAUUUGUUGGAGUCAUUGUUCCUUCAGCUCUCUGUUACCUGCACUUACAUCUCUCUGUGAGUCGCGGAGUCUUGCAGUUAAGGUAUUAAUAUUAUUGCGUCUCAAGGUGCCUCAGGUCAGAGGUUCCAAAGGUGAAUGAGGGCACAGCUCUCCGUCUGAGACUCACGGUGGAGAAGCCUCCUCACCUUGCUCCUUCUCCCUGUCACCAAGAAAGGAGGUCUGGGGGAAGGAAGGGGUCCGUGUGGCCCUCCCGCCCCCACACUGUCCCUCUUGGAUUCUGCUAGCCUGUGGGUGUGGGCAGCAGCUCAGCCUGGCCCUGGAAUUUUCCAUAAAG
rnacentral:lncRNA from 1 species